GGACAUACCUCUGGUGUACCAGUUGUUCUGCCAAGAGCACCGCUGGGUAGCUACGUAUGGAUUAGAUAAUCGCUGAAAGCAUCUAAGUGAGAAACUAACCUCGAGAUGAGAUUUCCCAUUCGUCAGAAGUAAGACCCCUGAGAGACGUUCAGGUAGAUAGGCUAGAAGUGGAAGUGUAGUGAUGCAUGGAGCGGACUAGUACUAAUAGGUCGAGGACUUAACCAAG
rnacentral:rRNA from 1 species